rnacentral:rRNA from 1 species
CCUACGGGAGGCAGCAGUGGGGGAUAUUGCACAAUGGGGGAAACCCUGAUGCAGCGACGCCGCGUGAGUGAAGAAGUCUUUCGGUAUGUAAAGCUCUAUCAGCAGGGAAGAAAAUGACAGUACCUGACCACUCCGCCCCUUCUAACUCCGUUCCAGCCGCCGCGGUAAUACGGAGGGGGCCAGCGUUAUCCGGCGUUACUGGGUGUAAAGGGAGCGUAGACGGUUAUGUAAGUCUGGAGUGAAAGCCCGGGGCCCAACCCCGGGACUGCUGUGGAAACUGGGGAACUGGAGUACAGGAGGGGCAGGCGGAAGGCCUGGUGUAGCGGUGAAAGGCGGAGAGAGCAGGAGGAACACCGGCGGCGAAGGCGGCCUGCUGGACUGAAACUGACGUUGAGGCUCGAAAGCGUGGGGAGCAAACAGGAUUAGAUACCCUUGUAGUC